UACCAACGAUAAGUAGAAGCAGAUCAGGUCUCAUCCACACCAGAGACACGGAAACUAGAGCUUCACUACACUAGAGGGCUCACACAGAGAGAAGAUUCUCAGAGGGAUCACGGUGACGACGUCAGAGAUGAGUCUCUUCAAGGAAAGCUCUAAAGAUCCAGAGAAUCAAGGAAUCAAGAUGGCCCACUGCACUGGAGUAGUGCUACUAAUUUUCCACUAUUAAUUGCACGCAUACCACUACAACUGGCUGAGAACUGAAGUUUCCAACAUGUGAUGUCUCUGUGAUGCAAGCCAUCUGAUUCGCUGGUCAUGCUGGUCAUUAAGAGGGAUGUUAGCCUGCGUUUCUGUGUGGACUGCAGAUCAACAGUGGUGUCAUUAUGAUGGAUUCCAGCUCACCGCCUCACAGGGACAAUGCUCUUUACACCACAACCAUCUCUUUUUUAUAAUCCCACUCUCUGAUGUCACCCAGAUGAUGACAGCUUCCCUUUUGAGUCUGGAUCGUCUCGAGGUUUUUUCCUCAUGUCGUCUCAGAGAGUUUUUCCUCACUAUCAUCAUCUCUGGAUUGAUUUAAAAUCUAUCAUUUAUUGAAUUUGUAUGUUCCUGUACAGCUGAUUCACAAC